rnacentral:rRNA from 1 species
CCUACGGGCGGCAGCAGUGAGGAAUAUUGGUCAAUGGACGAGAGUCUGAACCAGCCAAGUAGCGUGAAGGAUGACUGCCCUAUGGGUUGUAAACUUCUUUUAUAUGGGAAUAAAAUGUUCCACGUGUGGGAUUUUGUAUGUACCAUAUGAAUAAGGAUCGGCUAACUCCGUGCCAGCAGCCGCGGUAAUACGGAGGAUCCGAGCGUUAUCCGGAUUUAUUGGGUUUAAAGGGAGCGUAGGUGGAUUGUUAAGUCAGUUGUGAAAGUUUGCGGCUCAACCGUAAAAUUGCAGUUGAAACUGGCAGUCUUGAGUACAGUAGAGGUGGGCGGAAUUCGUGGUGUAGCGGUGAAAGGCUUAGAUAUCACGAAGAACUCCGAUUGCGAAGGCAGCUCACUGGACUGCAACUGACACUGAGGCUCGAAAGUGUGGGUAUCAAACAGGAUUAGAUACCCCUGUAGUC